AAGCAGCCGCGGUAAUUCCAGCUCCAAUAGCGUAUAUUAAAGUUGUUGCAGUUAAAAAGCUCGUAGUUGAACUUCGGGAUCAAGGGAUCGGUCAUGCCUUGGUAUGUACUGGUCUUAUUGGUUCUCACCUUCUAAAGAACCAUAAUGUCAUUCAUUUGAUGUUAUGGGGAAUUAGGACUGUUACCUUGAAAAAAUUAGAGUGUUUAAAGCAGGCUUACGCUUGAAUACAUUAGCAUGGAAUAAUGAAAUAGGACAUCCGAUUCUAUUUUGUUGGUUUCUAGGAUCGAUGUAAUGAUUAAUAGGGAUAGGUUGGGGGCAUUAGUAUUCAAUUGUCAGAGGUGAAAUUCUUGGAUUUAUUGAAGACUAACUACUGCGAGAGCAUUUGCCAAGGUAUGUUUCAUUAAUCAAGAACGAAGUUAGGGAUCGAAGACGAUCAGAUACCGUCGUAGUCUUAACCAUAAACUAUCGCCGACUAGGGAUCGGAACGUAAGUUUAAUUUUAAAUGACUCGUUAGGCCGUCCGUUAACCGGG
rnacentral:rRNA from 1 species